UAAAUCCCGUUGAUCCUGCGGGAGAUUGCUGCUAUGAGGGUUGGAAUUAGCCAUGCAAGUCCAAGGGUCGCAAGACACUGGCAAACUGCUCAGUAACACGUCGAUAAUCUGCCCUUAGGUCUGGGAUAACCUCGGGAAACUGAGGCUAAACCCGGGUAGGGAAAUUCCUCUGGAAUGAGUUUUUCCUUAAAGGCAACGCCUAAGGAUGAGUCGGCGGCUGAUUAGGCAGUUGGUGGUGUAACGGACCACCAAACCGAAGAUCAGUAGGGGCCUUGGAAGAGGUCGCCCCGAGAAGGGCACUGAGAUACUGGCCCUAGCUCCACGGAGUGCAGCAGGCGCGAAACCUUUACACUGCACGAAAGUGCGAUAAGGCAACCCUCAGUGCUUACGCUACAUGCGUAGGCUUUUGCCAAGAGCAAGAAUCUUGGCGAAUAAGUGGUGGGCAAGACCGGUGCCAGCCGCCGCGGUAACACCGGCGCCACAAGUAGUGAUCACGGUUAUUGGGCCUAAAGCAUUCGUAGCCGGCUUGGUAAAUUUCCUGUGAAAUCGUCUGGCUUAACCUGACGGCGUGCAGGAAACACUGCCAAGCUUGGGACUGGGAGGAGUGGAAGGUAUUCUGUAGGGAGCGGUAAAAUAUGCUCACUGGCGUUCGCAACUGAAAAUGCCAGGGGCGUUUACAGUGCUAUAAUCUACAGAGGACCACCUGUGGCGAAGGCGUUCCACUAGAACAGGUCUGACGGUGAGGAAUGAAAGCUAGGGGAGCAAUCCGGAUUAGAUUCAACCUUUGCAAAAGCUUGAAUGGAAAGCACUUAAGUGGGAUGUUCACUUCGUGAAAUCCCACGAACUAUGAUUGUUUGAGAAAAAAAAUACUGUAGUUCAAAGCGUCUGUUCAUUCUUUAUGAUGUGCAAUGGUUGUUAAAGACCCGAGUAGUCCUAGCCGUAAACCCUGCGAGCUAGGUGUUGCACAUUCUUCGUGAAUGCGCAGUGUCGUAGUGAAGGCGUUAAGCUCGCCGCCUGGGAAGUACGGUCGCAAGGCUGAAACUUAAAGGAAUAGGCGGGGGAAUACUACAAGGGGUGCGGUGUGCGGUUCAAUUGAAUUCAACGCCGGAAAUCUCACCAAGGCCGACGGCAAGAUGAAGGUCAAGCUAAUGACUUUACCUGAUGAGCCGAGAGGUGGUGCAUGGCCGUCGUCAGCUCGUGUCGCAAGAUGUCCUGUCAAGUCAGGCAACGAGCAAGACCUGUACUCAUAAUUGCUAACGAACUCAUGUGAUCGAGCACAUUAUGAGGACUGCCCGGGAAACUGGGAGGAAGGUGCAGGCUAUGGUAGGUCUGUAUGCCCCGGAUGCCUUGGGCUACACGCGCGCAACAACGGUUGAGACAAUGGGAUGCCACCCCGAAAGGGGAAGCUAAACCUCGAAACUCAACCAUGUUCAGAUUGAGGGCUGUAACUCGCCCUCAUGACGUCGGAAUCCCUAGUAAUCAGAGUUUAUCACACUCUGGUGAAUAUGUCCCUGUUCCUUGCACUCACCGCCCGUCAAACCACUCGAGCAGAGUCUAGACGAGAACUAAUGAUAUUGAUUAUUUCGAAUCUAGGCCUUGUAAGAAGGGUUAAGUCGUCACAAGGUAGCCGUAGGGGAACCUGCGGCUGGAUCACCUCCUUU
rnacentral:rRNA from 1 species